CAAAUCUCUCCUCCUUCAUCAGCAUAUGACUUCCUUCUAAUCAACAUCUUCACACAUCACAAGAGUAAACACCUGAAGUUGUCAGACUUCUCCAUGAGUUUGAAAUGCGAGGAACAGAGGUCCUCCCCGAGCUCUCAAUACUGGUCACCUUAGUGGGCUGAGGGUUAAGGAGGUGCUCACAAGACUUUGGUAUGUCUUAAGGGGGCACACCCCAGUUAAUUUUGGGUUUCAGGUGAGGUAAAAUGUCAGGUGUAACAUGAGUUCAUGUAAAACGUCAGGUGUAACAUAAGUUCAGGUAAAAUGUCAGGUGUAACAUGAGCUCAGGUAAAAUGUCAGGUGAAACAUAAGUUCAGGUAAAAUGUCAGGUGUAACAUGAGUUCAGGUAAAAUGUAAGGUGAAACAUAAGUUCAGGUAAAAUGUCAGGUGUAACAUGAGUUCAGGUAAAAUGUCAGGUGUAACAUAAGUUCAGGUAAAAUGUCAGGUGUAACAUGAGUUCAGGUAAAAUGUCAGGUGUAACAUGAGUUCAGGUAAAAUGUCAGGUGUAACAUAAGUUCAGGUAAAAUGUCAGGUGUAACAUGAGUUCAGGUAAAACGUCAGGUGUAACAUAAGUUCACUCAGGUAAAAUGUCAGGUGAAACAUAAGUUCAGGUAAAAUGUCAGGUGUAACAUGAGCUGACAGGUAAAACUAAGGCCUAGGAAAAAAAAUGUUGUGUUUCCUGUAACCCGACCGACCCUAGAAAAACCUGCCGACCCUAGACUUUUUUUUUGGGUGGCCGGCUGGCAGACAUGAAUUUUCCAUGUGAGAAUUUGUGCAAGGAGCUUUCGAGUGAUGCAUCGUUAUAGAAUCGGUUUUUGAACAUGUUCUGCUAAUUCCUAGUGCAGUAGAAAAAGUCCAAAUAACAUCAAUUACCUCUGUUUACUUCAUAAAUCACAGUUAACAUAAUUAGGAACACAUAAAUCAUCGUAAAUAUGAGAUACACAUGGACACGUAUAAACGUAGUAGAAGUUCAGAAGCAUGACUCAGCUCAGGAGCAUGUGCUCAAACACACAGUAAAUUUUCAACUGAAACAUAGAAAUCAGCACCCAAACAAACAACUCAAUAAACAAACAAUGCUUUUUCACUAUUGUACCUCCAAAAUUAACCUAUUUUGGUACGCCUGAAAUGCAAAAAAGUCCGCCCAAAAGCCGUCCGAAAUGAAGUAAACAAACCGAGAGCCGCCAUUUUGUUUUAUGUACAGCAGCGCCCCUAUCUUAUUUGGGGGGAAAUGCAGGCUUGACAGCACUUGUACUGGUAAUAAUGUUGCAUGUGAGUUUUUCCAAGGAGGUUUUAUCAAAUUGCAUCUAAUUUUUUGCUAACAAACAAUUGUACAUGUAACAAAAAAAAGAUAAUUAAUAUAUGGUUUAUGGUAUAGUACUUUUGGUUGUGCAUGUAUUUUUUGGGGGAGUGCAAGUAUUUGUAUUUUUUUCCAUCUGCACCAGUUGACCAUGAAAUGUAUUUAGUCUGUAUAGAUUUUUAUUAACUCAGAGAGCCAAUAAUUCCAGCAAGGUUUUUAUUCUUAUUUCUAUAGGCAAACUUAGAUAAAAUUUGUUGUUGAUUUUUUUUCUAACUAACAUGAUCAAGAUGAUAAAAGUUAAGUUAGGAUGCUUUGCCCAAUGUUUUCUACAUUUUUCAUGGUAACUUGCCUCAAGUUCCAAGCAGGAAAUACAUGACUUGGAGUUGUGUAUACUGUUCCACUUGUUGAGCUUGAAGGCAGACUGUUGGCCCUUGGUAAGGGGUCCUAGUGGGGACCUAUGCCCAAUGUUUUGUUGGCAAUUUAUAUCCUUGUAUAAGAGUUAGUUUCUGUGUAUAAGUGAUAGCUUUCCCUUAAGCAGAAGAUGAAGAUUAUGAGCCGGCAAGAUGACAUCAGAAGCAUACAAUAUAAAUGUACAUUUCUAUGUAACAAAGUGUAUGGAUAGACAUUGACAUGGACACCACCACAGUUCCCAGCUUAAGAAAUAAUGCUUUUGGCCAAUGUGUUGCCAGUUUUCAAGCCAGGUACCAUGUCUAAAAAAAAAAAAAAAAAAAAAAAAA